GAUGAAGAACGUAGCGAAAUGCGAUAAGUAAUGUGAAUUGCAGAAUUCAGUGAAUCAUCGAAUCUUUGAACGCACCUUGCGCUCUUUGCUAUUCCGAAGAGCAUGCCUGUUUGAGUGUCAUGAAAAUAUCAACCUUGACUUGGGUUUUGUGCUCUAGUCUCGGCUUGGAAUUGGGUGCUUGCCGCUUUUACGAGCGGCUCACCUUAAAUGUAUUAGCUGGAUCUGUCUUUGAGACUUGGUUUGACUUGGCGUAAUAAGUAUUUCGCUAAGGACAUUCUUCGGAGUGGCCUCGUUUCUAGGACGCUUGUCCGCUUUCCAAUACAAGUUCCACCUCGUGGACAUGACUUUUUAUUAUCUGGCCUCAAAUCAGGUAGGACUACCCGCUGAACUUAAGCAUAUCAAUAAGCGGAGGA
rnacentral:misc_RNA from 1 species